UACCAGCACCCCGAGUGGUCGGGACGAUUAUUGGGCCUAAAGCAUCCGUAGCCGGUCCUACAAGUCUUCCGUUAAAUCCACCUGCUUAACAGAUGGGCUGCGGAGGAUACUAUAAGACUAGGAGGCAGGAGAGGCAAGCGGUACUCAGUGGGUAGGGGUAAAAUCCGUUGAUCCAUUGAAGACCACCAGUGGCGAAGGCGGCUUGCCAGAAUGCGCUCGACGGUGAGGGAUGAAAGCUGGGGGAGCAAACCGG
rnacentral:rRNA from 1 species